GACGAACGCUGGCGGCGUGCUUAACACAUGCAAGUCGAACGGUAAGGCCCUUCGGGGUACACGAGUGGCGAACGUGUGAGUAACACGUGGAUUAUCUUCCCUGCACUUCGGGAUAAGCCUUGGAAACUGGGUCUAACACCGGCUAGGACCACUGCCUUCAUGGGUGGUGGUUGAAAGCUUUUGCGGUGUGGGAUGGGCCCGGGGCCUAUCAGCUUGUUGGUGGGGUGAUGGCCUACCAAGGCGACGACGGGUAGCCGGCCUGAGAGGGUGACCGGCAACACUGGGACUGAGAUACGGCCCAGACUCCUACGGGAGGCAGCAGUGGGGAAUAUUGCACAAUGGGCGCAAGCCUGAUGCAGCGACGCCGCGUGAGGGAUGACGGCCUUCGGGUUGUAAACCUCUUUCAGCACCGACGAAGCGCAAGUGACGGUAGGUGCAGAAGAAGGACCGGCCAACUACGUGCCAGCAGCCGCCGUAA
rnacentral:rRNA from 1 species